AGAUGACAUGACGGCUGAUAUACA
rnacentral:siRNA from 1 species